rnacentral:rRNA from 1 species
UACGAAGGGGGCUAGCGUUGUUCGGAAUUACUGGGCGUAAAGCGCACGUAGGCGAAUAUUUAAGUCAGGGGUGAAAUCCCGCAGCUCAACUGCGGAACUGCCUUUGAUACUGGGUAUCUUGAGUAUGGAAGAGGUAAGUGGAAUUCCGAGUGUAGAGGUGAAAUUCGUAGAUAUUCGGAGGAACACCAGUGGCGAAGGCGGCUUACUGGUCCAUUACUGACCUUGAGGUGCGAAAGCGUGGGGAGCAAACAGG